UACGGAGGGGGCUAGCGUUGUUCGGAAUUACUGGGCCUAAAGCAUCCGUAGCCGGUUCUACGAGUCUUCCGUUAAAUCCAACUGCUUAACAGGUGGGCUGCGGAAGAUACUAUAGAGCUAGGAGGCGGGAGAGGCAAGCGGUACUCGAUGGGUAGGGGUAAAAUCCGUUGAUCCAUUGAAGACCACCAGUGGCGAAGGCGGCUUGCCAGAACGCGCUCGACGGUGAGGGAUGAAAGCUGGGGGAGCAAACCGG
rnacentral:rRNA from 1 species